CAGCAGCCACGGGAAUACGGAGGGCGCGAGCGUUAUCCGGAAUUAUUGGGCGUAAAGAGCUCGUAGGCGGUUUGUCGCGUCUGCCGUGAAAGUCCGGGGCUCAACCCCGGAUCUGCGGUGGGUACGGGCAGACUAGAGUGAUGUAGGGGAGACUGGAAUUCCUGGUGUAGCAGUGAAAUGCGCAGAUAUCUGGAGGAACACCGGUGGCGAAGGCGGCAUCCUGGACCGAGAUUGACGCUGAGGCGCGAAAGCUAGGGGAGCAAACAGGAUUAGAUACCCCAGUAGUCCCUGUCUCUUAUAC
rnacentral:rRNA from 1 species